UUUUCCUGCUGACUUGUGCACUCGAAAGAGACCUUCAAUCACCAUUGUAAAUAAGAGGGCAGCGAGGCCAUUGAUGAUGAUGAAAUGGGCCGUGAUGGCUAGGAAAGGUAAUUCCUGGCUUUAGCAAGGGUGCCGAAGCUAUACGUCCCAAGAAAAAGAGGAUUACUGAAAAAAAAUAUGCAAAUGAAUCCAACUUGGCAGACGAUAUGAAUGACUGUGGUGAUAUAAGCAAUGAGAAUAAUAUGGAAUUUCUAUUGGACAACGACGUGGAAUGCACUCCUGCUGCAACAAACGGAAUAAUUGAAGUUGCUUUUGUUGAGGCAGAAACAGGAAAAGAUUUACAUUUACAAGAACCAUUGGUGCAGGUCCCAGAUGACACAAGUUGAGAAAUGGAAAUGAAGAUACUUUGGAUAAAACUGCUCGAGUAACUGGAUUGCCCUUUUAGACUUGCAGUUCAGAAAUCAAAUAAUGGAUUGGAUAUGCUUGCUUUUGAAUGAAGCUUUGCCACAGUCAGGCCACUUGCUCCUUCAGGCUGUGGGCUAGGAUGACCUUUUUCCAGCUAGCAUUAUCCACCUGGAACGACUAACUGGACUGGGACUGCAUCAUGACGCGUCUCAGCGAUGAGAAAUGUAAGAAUUCUGUCUGAUCUGAUAUGGGACACUAUGGUUUAACCACUCAUUAACUCUAUGGAGGCGUGCAAUCAUCCUUCUUUUCUGCUGGUAUGGUAAUUGAAUUCAGAAUAUCUUUUUAAUGCUUCUGGGUUUUUUUGGCUUUGCCAGAAGUAAAAGACUAACACAUUGUUUCUCCAAGCUGAUGAAAGUUGUGCUAACUUUACACCUUGUUAAGCUGAAAAGCGGCACACAGGAUGAUGUAGAUUACUUAUUUUAAUCACUCUGAAUAUUGAUUCCUAAUCAGAUGAAAGUAUAGUUUCUCAAACUUCCUAAUAUCUAAUGAAAUUAGCAGCCAUGGCUGUGCUUCUUUCAGCUGUCAAGCCAAAUCUCUGACAACAAACAAUCAAAGGUGCAGACAAGGUGAAUAUUAAUCCUACUCAAGUAGCUUAAUUAGCAUACGAACCAAACGCUGUCAUUAGCAUGUUCUUGUUCUUUUCUGCAUAAAUAUUGAUGCUUCAAAUUAAAUUGAUAACUUUUUACAGCACUAAUGGCAUUAGUUUUUUUUUGAUAAAUUG